rnacentral:rRNA from 1 species
AGCUCCAAUAGCGUAUAUUAAAGUUGUUGCAGUUAAAAAGCUCGUAGUUGGAUUUGGGACGGGGGUCGCGCGGUCGGCCGCAAGGUCUGCUACUGUGCGGCCUUGUCAUUUACACUCUCGGAGACCCGUCGUGCACUUCGCUAUGCGCGGCGCGGGACUCGGGACGUUUACUUUGAAAAAAUUAGAGUGUUCAAAGCAGGCUUCAUCAAGCCCGGAUACAUGAGCAUGGAAUAAUGGAAUAGGACCGCGGUUCUAUUUUGUUGGUUUCUACGACCGCAGUAAUGAUUAAGAGGGACAAUUGGGGGCGUCCGUAUUUCGUUGUCAGAGGUGAAAUUCUUGGAUUUACGAAAGACGAACAACUGCGAAAGCAUUCGCCAAGAGUGUUUUCAUUAAUCAAGAA